CCGAUCUAAAACACCUGUAUGUCUAAUCGCUCUUCUCCUUUCACGAGAUUGGCAUGAAGAUAAUAGAUCGUACUUUUCGGCUUUCGAGAUCAAUUGGAUCUCAGACGCAAUGUAAUGAGUGAGGUGUCUCAUGAUGGUGAAACCCCUGCGGCGAUUUAAUUUCCAAUUUCGCGGCGGCGAGACUGUAUCUCAUGCGGGCCCGGGAGUUAUCCUGGGACAUGUCGAGGUAUCUCUGCGCGUCGAGGAGUCAUCGGGCCCUAGGAGGUCGAUCUGACACGGCGGCGGCGACGGCCGCAAGAGAACGAGGAGAAGUCGGUAACUUAACUGGCCUAAAUGGGUUUAACUCGAUGUGAUUUUGCUGGCGAACCACUAAAUUGAACGAAUACGAACUAAACUGAACUCAACUAAGCUAAUCAUAUCACAUUACUAGCGUUAUUAGCCGAGCGACGAUAUAAGUGAAGGUCCGGUGAGCGCCGGGCUGCAGUGUAACGCAGCCUCCUGCACUGACCCUCCGCAUCCGCGACUUUCUCUCGCAUCCGUGCGUCCUCCAUCUUGUUAUCUCGCGAGGUAAACAUGACCUACAAUAAGACGUACGUUCGCCGUCAUCACCGUCGUGCCGUUAACGGAUUAGGUGUUCGAGCUUCGAAGCAGCUCGGAGGAGAGAUCGAAGAAGAGUCGCAGAACGGAAGUGAUUUCUCUCUCGCGGUCGCGAUUAUCCGCCAUCGUGUUUCCGCGUUUCUCGCGUCGCGCCACGACGCACCGGAAGUGAACGCGAUGAGCACCAACAGUGCGUCGAAUUUAAAGAGCGAGCGAUGGAUCACACGUCAUUUUAUUCGAGCGAAAUAUCAUAAUUUGCGAGUGGCAGAUGCUUGUAUAAAAACGUGUAAACAAAAUUUAAAAAUAGAGAAUGUUUUAGAUCAUUUCUUUAAAUAUGUUUUAAAUCUUGAUUUGUUUUUUUUUUUGUCGGAACUACGUGCGAUAUUUUAGAUCUAGUGCGAUAUUUUAGAUCUAGCGCGAUAUAAGAUCACGACUCGCUUGCGUUUUUUGACUUUCGCGUAUCUUUCUUGCAAAAAUUAAUUAUCUUUCUAAAAGGACAGGCAGUGUACAUUUUUGGCGUUUAACAUUCUCAUUUGUGUUAUACGACGAUUAUGUUUUAUUAUUAAAUUUUUAACGAACAAAUGGACGCAACGCGUGAAAGAGACAUGAAAUGCGUAAGGAAGUAGACGCCGAUUGUUCCCCACUCCAUCUGCGACGUGGUUGGACGAUGUCUAAAGGGAGAUGAGAGAAGAAAAUGAACGCGAUACGUUGUCGCCCCUCUAUUUUACACAGGGCGGGCUCGGUCUCUUCAACUCCACCUCUUCACUUCCGUUGCUCUUUCGAACUCGAGAGAUAUACAUAUAAAUUAUUUGGGAGUUCAUUUUUCAGCUACGUUUUAUGUACUGUAUAAAUGCGUUUUUUCUUUAUUAAGUGAGUACGUAUAUUAUCAAAUGUUCGCGAAGAUGAAAAUUAAGAAAAGACAAUUCAAUAGAGAAAAGGACAAAUGUCUAAUAUAUAUAUAAAAUUUUAUUUCGUGUUUACAACAUUUUACAUCUACUGUAUACAAGUUUGCAUAUAAAUCUUCUUAUCGUAUACAUAGAUCAUUCGCAGGAUACUCGAAAAAUCUAUAAUACAUAUAUUUUCAAUCAUUUUUAUAAGAAUUAUAAUAAUUGAAAAGCAUUUAUUAAAGUUUGACAUACAAAGUAGAUUGAUUGUAAAAAUUUCUUGUUGAACGAAUGGUUUGAUAUUUUACGCGAUCGUAAUUAAAAAUAAAAGUUUAUAAUCUUAAUAAAUGUUUGAAAAAUCUUACAAUUGUAAUAAAAUAUCGUGUUCGGUCGAUUACUGUAUAUCAAACGCAGAAUUCUUCUGAACUACAUAAGAUUUCGCAGAUUAUACAAAGACUGCAAGCAAUAUAAUUUUUGCCGCGAGAGGAAACUUCGACAGAAAUAUGAGACAGAAAGGAAGACGCGAAUGUGCGACCUUUCAACUUUUGAACGUCGGUCGUCUUUUUUAUUGGUUAGCAUAUCAUUUGUAUUUUUUUCUUGUUUUUUUACGUCGUAGGUAUGUCGAGCGUUUAACGAUGAACGCGCUAUGUUGCCCGCAGCGCCGGGACCCGCCAAUUGAGCCUGUUAACGCUCAAUUGGUCUAAAUUGCUUCAAUUGGAUGUAAUUGCGCGAAGGCGACGGGGAACCUCCGCUCUACGUUUCUCUCUCUCUUUCUUUUUUUAUAUACCGCGAAUAUCAUCGACAAAAUGUUAUGUUCUCAGGCUCUUCCUGCCAACAACAGAGAUCGUAUUUUUAACCAUCUCGACCGGUCUAGCAAAGUGGAUUUUUGCUUAUUGUCUAUCAAACUCGUUGUCAAACUUGUAUAGAUAAAGCAGAAAAAGAGAAAGAGAAAACGUCUUUAUUGAAUGAAAGCUUAGCACAUUUUUACUAAUAAUGUGAUUGCUAAAUAAAUAACGCAAUUUUUGCAAACUUAUUUUACACAUGUCAAAGUUACAGUUUAUUAAUAUAAUUAUUCUAUUAAUUUUGAGCAUAUUUGAUUAUAAUCGGUAAUUAUCGUUUUCCCUCUGCGCGUAUUGCAAUAUUAUUACAAGUUCCCAAUCGUUAUAAGAGUUUAUUAUUUUACUCUUAAUAAAUAUUUUUAAAUUAUUUUAUUAUUUCAAGUUUUUCUUAUUAUACAAUUUUAUAAGUUCUCUUUCUAUUUUAUUUUUUUCCUUCUCUCUUUCUCUCUCUCUCUAUUAUUAUUAUAAGUUACGAUUACAAAAAUUUAUUUAUUAGAUUUGAAAAUAAUCAAAGUGGUUAUUACAUAUAAGACACAAUAUAUCAGGAAUUGCAUAUGUUCUGUUUAUGUGUUCUGAUAUAUAUAUUUGUAGCUGUAUUUUUCAAAUAUUGUACAUAAUGAAACAUAAGAAUUUAAAUUCAUUCAUGGGUAUCCGGAGAAAGAGAGUAAAAUCUCUCUAUACAUGUAUAUGUGUUUGGCACGCGACCCAGCAUGUGAAUCUUGUCUUUGUAUCAUUCCAGACUUCUGAAUACGGGUGAGAUAUAGGUAUAUCUUCGAUAUCCUUAUCAUAUCCAUUACAUUAAAUGUAAUGGUCGAUUUCUUCUACCACCGUUAAAGAUUUGAUUACACUUUUAUAAUUAAGAAACAUUGAUGGUUUAAUAAGUAUGAUAAUAGUUGAUGUGUAAACAUAAGAUAGAAAUAUUUAAUUUAUAAUAAUAUUAAAUAAUUUAUUGUUAGAGAAAGAAAGAGAGUACAUAAUAAAAUAAUAAAAAAAUCAAUUUUAGAAAACUUUAAUAUAAAAGUAUCGAAUUUUUCGAUUCUUUUCCAAGAAUAAAGGUUGUUUCGAAUUGACGCAUAUGUAUAUUUCCCGGAAUUAUAUCUAAUAAUAUCUAAGUGCAUAUCACGCGGUUCCAAGCUCGGAUAUCGCCCUUCGAAGUGAGAGAAAAUGCGAUGCUUUAAACGAUGACGUCGCAUCCUGAUUAACUGUCGGCGAAUACAUUCGCUCGUAUCCGUCGUAUUUCUAUCCUCGUUGGUUUCUGGGUACCAAGUGUUGCUCGUAAUAUAAUAUCUUCAUCACAUUUAUUUAACUAUAAUCGUGCGAUUUUAAUAUCGCGAAAGACACAGCAAA